GACGAACGCUGGCGGCGUGCCUAACACAUGCAAGUCGAGCGGAGAUCAUAGUAAUAUGAUUUUAGCGGCGGACGGGUGAGUAACGCGUGGGCAACCUACCUUUAACUGGGGGAUAACACAGGGAAACUUGUGCUAAUACCGCAUAACAUCAUGAUAUGACAUCAUAUUAUGAUCAAAGGAGCAAUCCGGUGAGAGAUGGGCCCGCGUCCGAUUAGCUAGUUGGAGGUGUAAUGGACCACCAAGGCGACGAUCGGUAGCCGAACUGAGAGGUUGAUCGGCCACAUUGGGACUGAGACACGGCCCAGACUCCUACGGGAGGCUG
rnacentral:rRNA from 1 species